rnacentral:rRNA from 1 species
GACCUCGGAUCAGGUAGGAAUACCCGCUGAACUUAAGCAUAUCAAUAAGCGGAGGAAAAGAAACCAACAGGGAUUACCUCAGUAACGGCGAGUGAAGCGGUAAUAGCUCAAAUUUGAAAUCUGGCUCUUUCAGGGUCCGAGUUGUAAUUUGUAGAGGAUGUUUCGGGCACGGUUACGGUUUAAAUUUCUUGGAACAGAAUGUCAAAGAGGGUGAGAGUCCCGUCUUGAACCGAUUACUUCGUCCAUGUGAAACUCCUUCGACGAGUCGAGUUGUUUGGGAAUGCAGCUCAAAUGGGUGGUAAAUUUCAUCUAAAGCUAAAUAUUGGCCAGAGACCGAUAGCGCACAAGUAGAGUGAUCGAAAGAUGAAAAGCACUUUGAAAAGAGAGUUAAACAGUAUGUGAAAUUGUUGAAAGGGAAGCGCUUGUAAUCAG